AGUUUAGUCAUGGCUCAGGACGAACGCUGGCGGCGUGCCUAACACAUGCAAGUCGAACGAGAUCCCGGAGCUUGCUCCGGGGGACAGUGGCGAACGGGUGAGUAACACGUGAGAAACCUGCCCUGGAGACCGGGACAACCAUUGGAAACGAUGGCUAAUACCGGAUGCCUUCACAUGGCCGCAUGGCCGAGUGAAGAAAUGCUCAGGCGCUCUAGGAGGGUCUCGCGGCCUAUCAGCUAGUUGGUGAGGUAACGGCUCACCAAGGCAUCGACGGGUAGCUGGUCUGAGAGGACGAUCAGCCACACUGGGACUGAGACACGGCCCAGACUCCUACGGGAGGCAGCAGUGGGGAAUAUUGCGCAAUGGGCGAAAGCCUGACGCAGCAACGCCGCGUGUGGGAUGACAGCUUUCGGGUUGUAAACCACUUUCAGUGACGACGAAAAUGACGGUAGUCACAGAAGAAGGUCCGGCCAACUACGUGCCAGCAGCCGCGGUAACACGUAGGGACCAAGCGUUGUCCGGAUUUAUUGGGCGUAAAGAGCUCGUAGGCUGUUUCGUAAGUCGGAUGUGAAAACUCA
rnacentral:rRNA from 1 species